rnacentral:rRNA from 1 species
UGGGGGAAUAUUGGGCAAUGGGCGCAAGCCUGACCCAGCAACGCCGCGUGAAGGAAGAAGGCUUUCGGGUUGUAAACUUCUUUUAAGAGGGAAGAGCAGAAGACUGUACCUCUAGAAUAAGCCACGGCUAACUACGUGCCAGCAGCCGCGGUAAUACGUAGGUGGCAAGCGUUGUCCGGAUUUACUGGGUGUAAAGGGCGUGCAGCCGGGCCGACAAGUCAGAUGUGAAAUCCCGAGGCUUAACCUCGGAACUGCAUUUGAAACUGUUGGUCUUGAGUAUCGGAGAGGUCAUCGGAAUUCCUUGUGUAGCGGUGAAAUGCGUAGAUAUAAGGAAGAACACCAGUGGCGAAGGCGGAUGACUGGACGACAACUGACGGUGAGGCGCGAAAGCGUGGGGAGCGAACAGGAUUAGAUACCCUGGUAGU